AGGGCGGAGGGAGCGGGAGGUCUCGGGCUCGGGGCCGGCCGCCGCUGCGCUCCGAUCGCCGCGCGGCUCGGUGUCCGGGGGUGGGGGGGCGGGGGGGCGCAGCUAUGGAGGCCAACGGGGGCCCGGGCGGCUCGGGCGGCGCCAACGACUCGCAGCACGACCCCGGUAAAAUGUUUAUCGGCGGACUCAGCUGGCAGACCUCACCAGAUAGCCUUAGAGACUAUUUUAGCAAAUUUGGAGAAAUUAGAGAAUGUAUGGUCAUGAGAGAUCCCACUACGAAACGCUCCAGAGGCUUCGGUUUCGUCACGUUCGCAGACCCGGCGAGUGUAGAUAAAGUGUUAGGCCAGCCCCACCACGAGUUAGACUCCAAGACGAUUGACCCCAAAGUUGCAUUUCCUCGUCGAGCACAACCCAAGGACUCACCUUUUCAGAGAGGACUCCUCAAUGCGGUUGUCCAGCCCAGCUCAGAGGGUUGCCGGAGGGACCAGAACACACUCUCGUUUUCAAGGUUAGGGAGUAGCAGGCUUUCAGGGGGGUGAGGAUGGGUGGGGAGGGGAGCUCUUUGAGUUUAAGGAUGCCCCUUUCCUUCUGUCCUAGGAAGAAGGCCUUUGUUGUUGUUUUCUUUUGCUGUCUUCUUCCAACAGCUUGGAGUAAAUACAUUGACAGAGCGGCAGGAACCAAACAAAUGAACCAGUAAAGAAGUUUGCAGUAGACAGAUGAGGCUUUAUUUAGGAGGCUGGGUGGUGUUUCUUCGUUUUCACAUUGAACCGCUGUUCCUCAGUGCUUCUCCUGGUGCUUGCAAAUCAGGAAAAAAAAAAAACAAACCCCCACACACAAGUGGGAGGGGUGGCCUGGCACUUUCCUGGACCGGGGCCGGAAGGAGAGCACGCAGGGCUGUGUGCUGUGAGCAGCCUUCAAAUACAACCGUUUGGGGAAGAGCCCUACAGUACCUGGAAAAGCCGGCUGUGUUGUGAGCAGUUGUUUUGAGUUCUGCGGUAUAGAACUGCAUGUCUAAGAACAGUCACAGGGACAUCUCCCCGAAGAGGUAUUCCUGAGGAUUUCUGCGUAAACAGAACCCUGUUUUCCCAGCAAGCAUUAUUAUAUUUUUAGAAACAUUUUCUUUCUUGAUUGCCCGUCAGUUAGCAAGGCUGCUAGCACUUUCUGUUGGUUUGCCUUCCUGGACAGGUGCUUGGAAGGGUCAGCGGUUCUAGGUUAAAAAAGAUACCGAAGGAUACUUUCUGUCCGAGGAGGAGUCAAUCCCUGCAUGGACGCAGUGGGAGGGGACACCCAAUCUGUUCCCUCUCCCCACCUUGUGAUGAGGAAGGGGAAGUCCUGCUAUUCGAAUCAGCCGGGAGCUUUUUCCCUCCGGCUCCCUUACCCCCUUCCUUCUGCUCUUCUUUGUCUUUAUUUUCUCUCUUUGGACUGAUACUGAACUCCUUGUUCCAGCUGAUAGCGAACUCCUUGUCCUGUUGGGGAGAGUAAUUUCAUGGCGGCCAACAGAACCGGUGACUGUAGUUUUUUUUUUUUUUUUUUUUGGCAUUUAAGGAAACAACUUACAAAUAGUUCUUUCUUUAAAGACCGAGCACAGAUUUUAAGUGUUCAGAGGGGGAAAACUCUCAAGGUGACUUGUGGUGAUCCGCCCCCCCACCCCAAAGCUGUGUCCUCGCAUCUUCCUCGAGGGUCGCUAAUAAGAACUGCUGGCCUAAGUCAGCGUCUUUGAGAAUCAUUGAUUCACUAAUUGCUCAUAAUCACGUCCUGGCUUCCCCCUCCUGCUGGGAACACUUUUGUUUUUCCCUGUUCUGCAAGGAAUUGGACGGAUUUCUGGAGUGUUUAAGAGCCACCCCAUAAAAGCGUUUGGCGUGCCACGGUUGCUCGCCGCGCUUCUCAGAGGUGACGGUGCCUGGGUGUCCGGGCCCAUAAACCAGGGGCUGCCAGUGACCUUUCCCAAGGUCACACGUCUGAUGGAGAGUGGAUUCCUCAGCCCACUGUGGGCCUCAACUUAAUUUGUUCCUUUCCUAAGGCAAAAUGACCUCCCCGUAAACCUGCCCCCCUUCCGCAGAGUGAACAAGCAGAGUUAGGAAGGCGUGUUCUGGGGGUGGGCGGGCAGCGGGCCAUGUUGGGAAGAGACUCGGGGCUACUCAUUAAAACGCCGAGGUGGGGUGAAGCUCGCCAUGAAGUGAGGAGUCCUGCAGGGGAGAACGCAGCCCCAGAGCGGAGCCGAUAGAGGGGCCGGCCUGGAGAGACUGAGGAGGCUGCUGAAGCAACAUUUCCCUCGGCGUUGGGAAUUUAAAGAGGAAAAAAAGAGAAGGCAGCCCCUCCGCUCCAUAUGCACGGUCUCUGAUAGUGUUCUGCAAAUACAUGGUCUCCAAGCCUCUUCCUUCUGUCCCUUCUUGUCUCCCUCCCUUCCUUCAGGGCUCCUGAGCUUGAAGCCCUGUCCUCCCUGGAUGGUGGCUGGCCUGUCGUCUCUUCCGUAAACCCUCUGAGUCCAGCCGGGGGAGGACAUUUAAGGACGGGUUUCAGGGAGAGGACCAUGGGCGUGUCCGGUCCAGUCCUGACCCGGUUCCUCAGCCCCAGGCUCCUGGGGGUUGAUUCUCCCCUGACCGGGUUGGUCACAUGCCUCUGUUCUGUACUUGUUAAUUAGUGUUUGGGUGUCCAAACACGGGGGAGGGAGCUGGGGCUUCAGCUCCGGGGCCUUUCUGCUCUCCACUGAGGCCUUCAGGACCCCCUCCCUGCCUCGUUAAACCCCCGGAGCUACGUGCACAGCCAGCCCGGUCCUCAGCCCCCCUUUUGUGAGUUGGGUUGUGGGUGGAAUUGGUCCCCGUCAUCCUGCUCUGCAGAGUCGGUGCACCCAUGACCGUGCCCGGAGUGGGAAGAGGGAGAGGACGGUGCUGGGCCAGCUUUCAGGCGGGACAAGGUAGGCCAGACAGAGGUAUCAGACUGUCCCCUUCUAGAAACGGCAGUCAGGCUGGGUGUGGGAGAGCGGGCCCAGGGUGAGUGUGGGCUUCUUCCAGCUUCUGCCCGGGUCACGUUUGGCGGAAGAGAGCCGACGUGCUUUGGUAGAUAGAGCUUCUCUUAGAGACAAUUCUGGGAUUGAAUCCUGGCUGUGUGACGUGGCCGAGUUACGUGGCCUCUCUGAGCCUCGUGUGUGUCGUAUGUAAACUGAGAACAAGAGACUUGCCUGGCGUUGUGGGCAGUGACAUACGUUCCCCAGAGCACCUAGCGUGAUGCCUGGCAUUCAGUAGGUGCCUACUCAGUGCCGAUGGUCCGGCCAGGCUGGACCCAGCUGUUGUUGUUGGGAAAGACCAGAGCUUGUGCAUGGGUUAGACCUUGCAUCAGUCGGUUAACUUUGCUGAUUUGGAUGGACUCGCCAGUGUGCUGUCUGGGCUUCUGGGCCCCAGAAGUUUCGCUGUGCCCUCCUCUCUUCUCUACACAGUCCACCCCUCCAUGCGGGGGGCUGCCAAAUUAGGGCUGACCUCCCAGGCUACUUGAGAAGGUCGGUCGGAGUCCCAGCUUCUCCUGGGUCCCGCCCUUUUUCUCUGACCCCUGUCUGAGAGGGGCUUUCGCUGGAUGCUGAGGGAAGUUCUAACCAUGCAGACCCUCUGCAUCCAGAUGACAGAUGGCUCAGUUGGGUUUCUGAUUCUUCCUUAAUUUAGCGGGGUGGUUGGAGAGGGUGGUGAUGCAAGAGGUACAUGGAGGUGUGCCUGCUCAGUUGCUUCAGUCGUGUUGGACUCUUUGUGACCCCAUGGACUGUAGCCCACUGGGCUCUUCUGUCCAUGAGAUUUUCCUGGCAAGGUUACCGGAGUAGGUUGCCACGCCCCACUCCAGAGGAUCUUCCUGACCCAGGGAUCAAACCCGCGUCUCCACUGGGGAAGCCCCAGGAGCAGGAGUAGGGGCCGUGAGAAGAUGGUGUGAGCGUGGAUGUGUAGUUACUCUCAGCGCUCCAGCCCAGCGUUUCUCAGCCUGGGCCCCUGUGGACAUUUUGGGCUGGAUAGUGCUUUGGGUGUGGUGGGCUGUGUUGGGCAUGUUGUGAGAUGCUUCACAGCAUCCUUGUCUGCUGCCCACUGGACGCCAGGGGCACCCCUUCCCCAGUUGUGACACCUAAGAAUGUCUCCAGGAGACCCUGUCGGAUGUCUCCUGGGGGACACACCUCUGGUUGAGAAUCAGUGGUCGGUGGGGGAGGGACAAGAGAGGUUUGUAUGUGUUGCGAGGGUCUGUGGACCUGCACUGUGAAAUAUUCAUGGAAUUCAAGAGCAGAAAGGCGCUCAGGGAAGUCCCUUGGGCCGGGCCGUGACCCAGGCAGCCCUUUCCGUGGUCAAGCGAAAGGGCAGAGAGAAGGCUGCCUCCCCAGGCUGGCCUCUCUGUGGAGCUUUUAUGGAGAACUUUUGCAAAGGGACUUUGUACUCGGUUCUCCGUUCUCCCGUGUUUCAGGAGUUUGGUUACAAGCUCGAAGUUUGAUCUGCCCUCUUGUCCUCUGUACACACACAUUCCUCACUCAGGAGAGGGCCCCUCUGUGUGUACAAAAUGGGACUUUUACUUGAAUUCAUUAAAAAAAAAAAAGUUUUGCCUGCCAGGACUCUGCUGUCCUCUCUUCUCCCCUUUUAUUCUUCUCUGUUGCCUGUAAGAUGAGCCCUGAAGUGGGUGUCUGGUGAGAUGGGUUAGCCUGGGAUUUUCCUAGGCCCAGAUUAAAGGCAAAUUAUCAAAUGGAAGUUGAAAGUUGCUGCUGUGCUUGUAAAAAAGUCAGUUGUGUGCCAUAAAAUCCAUCACAGCUCCCUUGGUGAGAAGGAGGCGGCUGCGAGGUAUUUAGUGAUGUUAGUUUAGCUUCCAAGGGCUUGGCUGCCAUGCUGGAGGAAGGAGCCUGUCGGCACCGGGUACCACGGUGGUUUCUAGCGUUUGGUCAGCGAGGGAGAGAGAAGCUUGCUGCGUCUGAGCCGUGGGAAGCUCAGAGACGAGACCUGGGUGUUGCCAGCAGGUUGCCAAGCAGUGGCUUUAGAUCUUGGAUUUGGGGGAACCGGACGGCUUUAUGGGCUGCCUGUGGGGCGCGUGAUGUCGCAGUGACUUUUGCCUCCUUUUUAUUUAGAACAGAAGGCGCCUGUCCAGUGGGUGCGGGGGUCUGCGGAUCUGGGCUGGGAGAGGCAGUGUAGCCUGCUGGGUGAAAGUGCAGGUUCGGGGACCAGACCACUUGGCCAGGUCUCCAUGGCUGCUCAUGGGCUCUCUCUAGUUGCGGUGGCUGGGGGCUUCUCAUGGUGGUGGCCCCCCUUGCGCAGAGCACGGGCCUGAGGGCUUGGUGGUUGCAGCUCGCUGGCCUGGCUGCCCUGAGGCGUGUGGGCUGCCCCUGGCGCAGGGGUUAAAUCCGUGUCUCCUGCAUUGGCAGGUGGAGUCCUAGCUGCUGGACCACCAGGGAAGCCUGUUGCUCUUUCUUAACGGCAACGUUUUUGAAGGCAUGAGGAUCCCCAAGGUUACCACCAGCACCUGUCUUCAGCUCGGCUUGCCUGGAAGCAGUUCUGCCCGCCCCAGGUUGCCUAAAUUUCGGUGCUGGGUGGGCAUGGUGGGUGUAGAUGGCUGCAAGCCUGUCCUCUUUGCCCCUGGAUCUGUUGAGUCCUCCUGCCUGCACUGUGAGCUUCCCAGGUAGCUCAGUGGUAAAGAAUUAGCUCAGUGGUAAAGAAUCCGCCUGCCAAGGCAGGAGACUCAGGUUUGAUCCCUGGGUCGGGAAAGAUUCCCCUGGAGGAGGAAGUGGCAACCCACUCCAGUAUCCUUGCCUGGAGAAUCCCAUGGCAGAGGAGCCUGGUGGGCUGCAGUGCAUGGGGUGCCAAAGAGUUGGACACGACUGAGCGACUAAGUGUGCACGCCUGCAUUGUCCCAAGGUUGGGCCAGCACUGGUGGCGGUGAGGUCUCAGGGAAACCAUCUGCUCUGGCCUUCAACGUGUCCCUGCUUUUGGCUAAGCCGGCACCCCAUGCCUGGUUCUCACUUUGCCUGCAGGAGCUGUGGGCCUGUUUCAAUGGGUAACUGGUAUAUGUGUGUGCACACGUGCAACAGAAAACAUCAAAAUGUUUGGGGAGUGUUUAGGGAAAAUAGCAAGCAGCAGAUUGCCAAGAUUCUCUUGUAUGUUUCUUUUCCUUGCCUUUUUGCUGUGUACAUGUGUGAUCGGGAUCUUGGAGCAUUCUGCAAUACAGCUCUGCCUUUUCUUAUCCCAACUGUUCUUUCUUACGGUGGAGAGGAUACAAUUCAGCACCAAUAAUACUGAGCAAUAAAUAACCUGGAGAAGAUGAA